AGCAGUCGCCGCGGUAAUACAGAGGGUGCGAGCGUUAAUCGGAUUUACUGGGCGUAAAGCGUGCGUAGGCGGCUUCUUAAGUCGGAUGUGAAAUCCCUGAGCUUAACUUAGGAAUUGCAUUCGAUACUGGGAAGCUAGAGUAUGGGAGAGGAUGGUAGAAUUCCAGGUGUAGCGGUGAAAUGCGUAGAGAUCUGGAGGAAUACCGAUGGCGAAGGCAGCCAUCUGGCCCAAUACUGACGCUGAGGUACGAAAGCAUGGGGAGCAAACAGGAUUAGAUACCCCUGUAGUCCCUGUCUCUUAUAC
rnacentral:rRNA from 1 species